AGAGUGGGAGCUUCCCCACCUUCCCGGCCACAGGUCCACGGGGCUCAUGGAUGGAGGAGUUUGGGGGGCUGUGGGGGCCCCUGAAGGACUAGCUCAGCGUGUGAAUGAGUGACUGGGAUAGGCCGCGUGUGAGCGAGAGAGAGAGAGAGAGAACUACGCUUCCCAGAGUGCACCGGGAGGGGCGCGUUGGCUGAGCAACCUGACGUCACUUCCGGUCUGAGACGAGCCAGGAACUACAACUCCCAGCCUGCCCCGGGGCGCCUCCGUCCUCUCCUGCCCAGGCAACUCAUUCAAUCGAGACCAAAACGACAGGAGGUGUCACGUGUCCAUGGGCGGGGCUAUGCAGAUGAGCAGUGUCUGGCGGCAGGACGGAGAUCAGCGAGAGGAACCGAACGAGCCCGGCGGAGAGAAUUCU